GGCCGCUUAGGCUGGGGAAGAGGGGGAGUCACGAGGGCACUGGCUGCUGCUACUGGGGAGGAUGCAGUUCUGGCACCCAGCCCUGUUCUCUGCUCUUACCAGACAUAGAUCUAAAUGCCUCGACCAAAACAGCACAGCACCUCAAGAGAACGGACAAAACUAAUAUCCAGUGUUUCUGGAUUCUAAUACCAUACUCGGUCAACUUGAUUACAAUGCGUAAAUAUGGUACACUGCAUCAGCUGUAAAAGUAGUACAGAUUAGUUUGAAAGCCUGUAUUCUCAAAUUUAAGAAACAAUGAUGGGAUUGGAAAACUGAUCAGCUGUUUUUAACUGACCUCUGGAAAGAUGUAUCUAUGCAUGAGCAUUGUUUUACUGUACGUUUUUUUUCAGUGA